rnacentral:rRNA from 3 species
GGGUUGUGAGGUUAAGCGACUAAGCGUACACGGUGGAUGCCCUGGCAGUCAGAGGCGAUGAAGGGCGUGCUAAUCUGCGAUAAGCGCCGGUAAGGUGAUAUGAACCGUUAUAACCGGCGAUACCCGAAUGGGGAAACCCAGUGUGACUCGUCACACUAUCAUUAACUGAAUCCAUAGGUUAAUGAGGCGAACCGGGGGAACUGAAACAUCUAAGUACCCCGAGGAAAAGAAAUCAACCGAGAUUCCCCCAGUAGCGGCGAGCGAACGGGGAGGAGCCCAGAGCCUGAAUCAGCAUGUGUGUUAGUGGAAGCGUCUGGAAAGGCGCGCGAUACAGGGUGACAGCCCCGUACACAAAAGCGCACAUGCUGUGAGCUCGAUGAGUAGGGCGGGACACGUGGUAUCCUGUCUGAAUAUGGGGGGACCAUCCUCCAAGGCUAAAUACUCCUGACUGACCGAUAGUGAACCAGUACCGUGAGGGAAAGGCGAAAAGAACCCCGGCGAGGGGAGUGAAAAAGAACCUGAAACCGUGUACGUACAAGCAGUGGGAGCCCCACCACUAAGCCAGUGGUGAACUCCACAUACGCAUCCUUUGCUGAGGAUGCGGUUAACGGAGCGAAAGCGACGUUCAACCGCAAAAGAAGCAGAGGGGGCUUAGUGGUGGGGUGACUGCGUACCUUUUGUAUAAUGGGUCAGCGACUUAUAUUCUGUAGCAAGGUUAACCGUAUAGGGGAGCCGGAGGGAAACCGAGUCUUAAUUGGGCGUUAAGUUGCAGGGUAUAGACCCGAAACCCGGUGAUCUAGCCAUGGGCAGGUUGAAGGUUGGGUAACACUAACUGGAGGACCGAACCGACUAAUGUUGAAAAAUUAGCGGAUGACCUGUGGCUGGGGGUGAAAGGCCAAUCAAACCGGGAGAUAGCUGGUUCUCCCCGAAAGCUAUUUAGGUAGCGCCUCGUGAAUUCAUCUCCGGGGGUAGAGCACUGUUUCGGCUAGGGGGCCAUCCCGGCUUACCAACCCGAUGCAAACUGCGAAUACCGGAGAAUGUUAUCACGGGAGACACACGGCGGGUGCUAACGUCCGUCGUGAAGAGGGAAACAACCCAGACCGCCAGCUAAGGUCCCAAAGUCAUGGUUAAGUGGGAAACGAUGUGGGAAGGCCCAGACAGCCAGGAUGUUGGCUUAGAAGCAGCCAUCAUUUAAAGAAAGCGUAAUAGCUCACUGGUCGAGUCGGCCUGCGCGGAAGAUGUAACGGGGCUAAACCAUGCACCGAAGCUGCGGCAGCGACACUCAGGUGUCGUUGGGUAGGGGAGCGUUCUGUAAGCCUGCGAAGGUGGCCUGUGAGGGUUGCUGGAGGUAUCAGAAGUGCGAAUGCUGACAUAAGUAACGAUAAAGCGGGUGAAAAGCCCGCUCGCCGGAAGACCAAGGGUUCCUGUCCAACGUUAAUCGGGGCAGGGUGAGUCGACCCCUAAGGCGAGGCCGAAAGGCGUAGUCGAUGGGAAACGGGUUAAUAUUCCCGUACUUGGUGUUACUGCGAAGGGGGGACGGAGAAGGCUAUGUUGGCCGGGCGACGGUUGUCCCGGUUUAAGCGUGUAGGUGUGUGUUCCAGGUAAAUCCGGUUCACUUUAACACUGAGGCGUGACGACGAGGCACUACGGUGCUGAAGCAACAAAUGCCCUGCUUCCAGGAAAAGCCUCUAAGCAUCAGGUAACAUCAAAUCGUACCCCAAACCGACACAGGUGGUCAGGUAGAGAAUACCAAGGCGCUUGAGAGAACUCGGGUGAAGGAACUAGGCAAAAUGGUGCCGUAACUUCGGGAGAAGGCACGCUGACACGUAGGUGAAGUGAUUUACUCAUGGAGCUGAAGUCAGUCGAAGAUACCAGCUGGCUGCAACUGUUUAUUAAAAACACAGCACUGUGCAAACACGAAAGUGGACGUAUACGGUGUGACGCCUGCCCGGUGCCGGAAGGUUAAUUGAUGGGGUCAGCGCAAGCGAAGCUCCUGAUCGAAGCCCCGGUAAACGGCGGCCGUAACUAUAACGGUCCUAAGGUAGCGAAAUUCCUUGUCGGGUAAGUUCCGACCUGCACGAAUGGCGUAAUGAUGGCCAGGCUGUCUCCACCCGAGACUCAGUGAAAUUGAACUCGCUGUGAAGAUGCAGUGUACCCGCGGCAAGACGGAAAGACCCCGUGAACCUUUACUAUAGCUUGACACUGAACAUUGAGCCUUGAUGUGUAGGAUAGGUGGGAGGCUUUGAAGUGUGGACGCCAGUCUGCAUGGAGCCGGCCUUGAAAUACCACCCUUUAAUGUUUGAUGUUCUAACGUGGACCCGUGAUCCGGGUUGCGGACAGUGUCUGGUGGGUAGUUUGACUGGGGCGGUCUCCUCCUAAAGAGUAACGGAGGAGCACGAAGGUUGGCUAAUCCUGGUCGGACAUCAGGAGGUUAGUGCAAUGGCAUAAGCCAGCUUGACUGCGAGCGUGACGGCGCGAGCAGGUGCGAAAGCAGGUCAUAGUGAUCCGGUGGUUCUGAAUGGAAGGGCCAUCGCUCAACGGAUAAAAGGUACUCCGGGGAUAACAGGCUGAUACCGCCCAAGAGUUCAUAUCGACGGCGGUGUUUGGCACCUCGAUGUCGGCUCAUCACAUCCUGGGGCUGAAGUAGGUCCCAAGGGUAUGGCUGUUCGCCAUUUAAAGUGGUACGCGAGCUGGGUUUAGAACGUCGUGAGACAGUUCGGUCCCUAUCUGCCGUGGGCGCUGGAGAACUGAGGGGGGCUGCUCCUAGUACGAGAGGACCGGAGUGGACGCAUCACUGGUGUUCGGGUUGUCAUGCCAAUGGCACUGCCCGGUAGCUAAAUGCGGAAGAGAUAAGUGCUGAAAGCAUCUAAGCACGAAACUUGCCCCGAGAUGAGUUCUCCCUGAGACUUUAGGUCUCCUGAAGGAACGUUGAAGACGACGACGUUGAUAGGCCGGGUGUGUAAGCGCAGCGAUGCGUUGAGCUAACCGGUACUAAUGAACCGUGAGGCUUAACCUUACAACGCCGAAG